GCGCCAGAGCUGCAGCAGCAGGCGGAAGAGGAAGAAGAGCCCGGAGAGCAGGAGCGCGGAGACGGCGUACACGCGGAACGCGGUCCUCUGCAGCCCCAGGAGCUGCAGGAGUUGCCACGACAGCAGCUGGCACUCAGCCCCAUCCGGACGCCUUCAAGCCUUGACGCCUGCAGGGCCACCCCUGGUGACCUCUGCCCCAUAGAAUUCUCUGCCCCUGUCCGGCUGAUCAGAGUCCUCGAAGGAGCGGCUCUCAACCAAUGGAGGAUGUACAUUGGUGGAUAAAUACCCCGACUCCUUUGUCCCGGCUUUCCCAGCAGGACUAAACUCAGCUGCCCACUGCAGAAACUUUCUCUGUUGGCUGCCUCUCUGCCCCUGUCUUACCUCCCUCUCCCUCUUCCUUUUUUUUCCCCCCAACUGAGCUGAAAUUCACAUAAGACAAAAUAAAGCAUUUUAAACUGA